AAUAUCUUUAUUUUCUUUGAAUAAAUGUUAAUGACAAGCCUUUUUUGAAUUUGUUAUCAGAGUAAAAAUGUAGAAAAGCCAAAGGUGAGGCAACAGAUUGAUUGCUGUGAAGACAAAGACUGAACUGACGGAGCUAAAUGAAAAGGUUCUAAUUAAGAAGACCAAUGAAACAGAAUCCUCUGUGGAAGAAAAGAAGACAGGAAAAGAAAAG